GACGAACGCUGGCGGCGUGCCUAAUACAUGCAAGUAGAACGCACAGUUUAUACCGUAGCUUGCUACACCAUAGACUGUGAGUUGCGAACGGGUGAGUAACGCGUAGGUAACCUGCCUGGUAGCGGGGGAUAACUAUUGGAAACGAUAGCUAAUACCGCAUAAUAUUAAUUAUUGCAUGAUAAUUAAUUGAAAGGUGCAAUUGCACCACUACCAGAUGGACCUGCGUUGUAUUAGCUAGUAGGUGAGGUAACGGCUCACCUAGGCGACGAUACAUAGCCGACCUGGGGAGGUGAUCCGCCACACUGGGAAUGGGACACGGCCCAGACUCCUACGGGAGGCAGCAGUAGGGAAUCUUCGGCAAUGGACGAAAGGCUGACCGAGCAACGCCGCGUGAGUGAAGAAGGUUUUCGGAUCGUAAAGCUCUGUUGUAAGGGAAGAACGGGUGUGAGAGUGGAAAGUUCACACUGUGACGGUAUCUUACCAGAAAGGGACGGCUAACUACGUG
rnacentral:rRNA from 1 species